UUACUGAGUUACCGCUCUAUAACCCUUUGUGAACGUACCUAACCGUUGCUUCGGCGGGCAGGGGAAGCCUCUCGCGGGCCUCCCCUCCCGGCGCCGGCCCCCACCACGGGGACGGGGCGCCCGCCGGAGGAAACCAAACUCUAUUUACACGACGUCUCUUCUGAGUGGCACAAGCAAAUAAUUAAAACUUUUAACAACGGAUCUCUUGGUUCUGGCAUCGAUGAAGAACGCAGCGAAAUGCGAUAAGUAAUGUGAAUUGCAGAAUUCAGUGAAUCAUCGAAUCUUUGAACGCACAUUGCGCUCGCCAGCAUUCUGGCGAGCAUGCCUGUUCGAGCGUCAUUUCAACCCUCAAGCACCGCUUGGUUUUGGGGCCCCACGGCACACGUGGGCCCUUAAAGGUAGUGGCGGACCCUCCCGGAGCCUCCUUUGCGUAGUAACUAACGUCUCGCACUGGGAUCCGGAGGGACUCUUGCCGUAAACCCCCCCAAUUCUUUACAGGUUGACCUCGGAUCAGGUAGGAAUACCCGCUGAACUUAAGCAUAUCAAUAAGNG
rnacentral:rRNA from 1 species